UACGUAGGCAGCAAGCGUUGUUCGGAAUUACUGGGCGUAAAGAGUGUGUAGGCGGUGCUCUAAGUUCGUUGUGAAAUCUCCCGGCUUAACUGGGAGGGUGCGGCGGAAACUGGAGUGCUUGAGCGCGGGAGAGGAAAGCGGAAUUCCUGGUGUAGCGGUGAAAUGCGUAGAUAUCAGGAGGAACACCGGUGGCGAAGGCGGCUAUCUGGACAGAAACUGACGCUGAGGCGCGAAAGCUAGGGGAGCAAACAGG
rnacentral:rRNA from 1 species